CGUUUAAAUUUACCAAUGCUAUUCUUUACUAAUAUCAAGCUACUUAUUUCAUCAUAGGUCCGGCCGGAUUACUAGAUGUAGCUAGGAGUUGUUCUUUAGUUCAUUUAGUUUCUAUAUUGUCUGUGAUUCGCAUUGACUGGCCGGUCACUGGAUUCAUGCGGAUUCAUUCAAUUCAAGAUGGCAGAAAAAACAAGAAUAACUUUUAAAAAGACUUCUGUUUGUUAUUAGAUUCCUUUUUGAAUAGUUUGUGUUCCUUAUAAAAGUAUUUUACUUCAAACUUCCUGAGUGUCUUAUUUUCAGCAUCUUUUAUAGUACCAAGCUAACAUUUCAGAAUUGAGAUGAGUAAGUCUACGCCCACCGGUAAGUGAAUUUAUUUCUGUGCUUAGUUAUGAAAAUUGUUAUGGAUAUAACAAUAUGCAGUUUCUAUGAUUACUGAAAAGAAAUUUACGUAUUAUUAACCACUAUCUUAAGAAAUUAAUAUCACGUAAAGUCCAAAUAAGGUUAUAAAAGGUAAAAACGCGAUCAUCACGCUAUAUUUGGCGAAAAUUUUAUCAUUGUGAUUAAUUUCAUUAUCGAAAAGUGCAAAACACAGCUUUAUAAGGUAGAUUUGUAUUAAAACUGUUGUCUUGCAAACAGCAACAGUGAAUGCAAAGUACUUUACUUUACUUUAUUUGAAAUAUCGCGUGCGUAUUAGGCCUAAAUGCAAAAUGGAGAAUUCGCAAUUCCUCCCAUUAUUGUGAAUUAGCAGUAGCAACUGUAGCAAGUCAAUAAUUAAUAAUCAUAAAGUUUAUUUCUCUUUGAUUUAAUUGAUCAAGUAAUAACUGAAUUUUUAGCAUGAACUGACGAUGUAAUAUCCUACAGAAAAAAAUCUUAAUACCGCGAUGUAAUAUCCACCAUGGAAUGCCAACCCUACUUUAGAGUAUUGUACUCUAUAUCAUUUAAGCGUGAUCUAUAAUCUAUAACACUAAUAGAGUACGCUAAAAUAGCUUUUUUUUUACACAUUUUUACUAGUCAUAUAAUAUUACGCAAAAACACAUAAUCAAAACCAAAAAAGUCUACUAUUUACUUUGGACGAUCUUGAACGCAGCCACUUAUGUCAAACGUCAAAUGUCACAUGUGACAAGUUAUUUUGAGAAGUUUUUGAGGUUUGUUUUGUUUGUCACUUUGGUUUUGUUUGUUUGGAAUACUUUUAUCCAUUCGUUAUAACGUGAUUGAUGAACAUUGAUAACGCCGAUCAAGCAUCCUGUACUGAUAAUAAUAACGCAAGUACCCCAUCUAAAAAUCGAAAAGUUUUGACGAAGAAAAAAAAGGACACAGAAGUACACACAACUUUGGGAAAAUGAGUUUUCAUGGCUAAGAAAAGACUCAGAAAGUGAUACAAAUGCAAAAUCCAUAAUCUGUGGCGAAGUUUUCUCUCUAUUCCAUCAGCUGGAGUUGUACACAUUCUGAGGAACAAUGAACAUACAGUGUAGCCGACCAAAAAUUCACCUAGCAACGUUGCAGCGUAGCAGACCAGCGUCAGACCAGCAUUAAGUACAUCAAUAAGAACAGCCGGAAUAUGGUUUACUAAUUACUUAUAGUCUCUUUGAGUUUUGUUUUAAUUAUGAUUGCUAAGUGCAUUUAAUAUCACCGCAUAGAUAUAAUAACUUUAUUAAUUUUGCUAAUUCAUUCAGUUUGUUAACAUAAAUUUAGAACUUGUUAGUUAGCGUUCGAAUGGCCGACAGGGAAUGGGGACAUUCCCAAUAACAGGACGGCCGACUGUUAGCGUUUAAAUUUACCAAUGCUAUUCUUUACUAAUAUCAAGCUACUUAUUUCAUCAUAGGUCCGGCCGGAUUACUAGAUGUAGCUAGGAGUUGUUCUUUAGUUCAUUUAGUUUCUAUAUUGUCUGUGAUUCGCAUUGACUGGCCGGUCACUGGAUUCAUGCGGAUUCAUUCAAUUCAAGAUGGCAGAAAAAACAAGAAUAACUUUUAAAAAGACUUCUGUUUGUUAUUAGAUUCCUUUUUGAAUAGUUUGUGUUCCUUAUAAAAGUAUUUUACUUCAAA